AUAUACUUUUAUAUAUACAAAUUAUUUUUUAAAUAUGUGGUUUCAAAUAUGUUAUUUGAUCCUGAAAGUCCGAGAAAUACACUUCUUUAAAUCGAUGUGAUUUUUAAUAUUAGAAGCACUAUAUAUAUUAUUUUAUUCAGAUUAAAUAUUUUAAUCUUGAUUUUUAUUCCUAAAAAGUUUUUUAAUGAAAUAUCAUGACAAGAUUUCAAUAAUCUCCUUUUGAGUUUGUUCGAAGAAUGAGAGAUUUGAUCAUUCGUUUAAUAUUUGUUUCUCCC
rnacentral:lncRNA from 1 species